UCUAUUCUUCGUCAACUGUGCAGGUGGGUGGCAAUUGCUUAGUUAUAAUUUCAAAAGUUUAAGCUUUUGUUGUGCUAGUCGAAAAAGGAUACAAUUUUCGUUGGCUGUUGCUUUGCAAGAUGCUAAAUUGGUUGCGGUUGUUUAUUUUGGCUUUAAAUUUAUGCUAAUACAAUAAUCAUAUUUGUUGAAUUGAUGCUUUCUUAAAAAAUUAAAGCACGGUCAUUAAUGUACAUCGAUCCUCCACUUUUCAGAAAAUUACAAAGGCCUGAGGAUUACCUUUCAGUUCCUCGUCCUUGCUCUCUAGUUUAUGUCUGGGAAAAGUUAUGAUUCUGCCUUUUUCUUAAUGUAGAUAUGAAGAAUCGGAAAAGAG
rnacentral:misc_RNA from 1 species